GGCCAGUGUAGAUCGUGUACGCAUCGUCGUGUACGUGUACUGGGUACAUCGUGUAUUAUACCGUGUAUUUGCCAAACUCCGCCCCCUAGUGGGAGGGGCUUAGCACGGCUUGUACACGGUUUAUCACUAGCAGACGACGGCGGAAAUUGGGUAAAUCGUGUACGGAGCCUUCCGUGUACGUGUAUUGGUUUGGUUUGGUUGUCAAUUUUAAAUAAAUACGAUACGAUACGAUAGUUUAAAAUAAAGAGAGAAAUCAGCAAAUUUGGUCUUAUUCUAAUAAAUAUAAUAUAUAUAUACAUAAAUAAUUCUUUUAAAAAAUCAACGAUGGCUAACCAUUGCAUUUGCGCAUUUUCAAAAACGAAAUGAUGAAUGCCAUUGAGCCUUGCCUAUUGGAAAUGACCAUAUGGACGUUUUUGUUGAGGAUCAUUCCCUUGGGUCACUCGUUUUAGGGAAUAAGUCAGUGGUGUAAGUUGUGAGCAAACUAAUUAACCGUUUUUGAUUGGAUUUAUUAAGUAAUCUGUUCUCUGUUGUGUUUCUUUCGCGUUUCAACCGACGGAAAAUGGUUUUCAAUAAAAAACAAACUGACUAUAUGCUGAGCAUCGUUUCUAUGUUUUCGGAUAAUACUUUACCUGCGUAUAUAAUCAACGAAGAAACAAAUUUGCCACCGCAUGCUCUUUUGCCAAACCCAGGUGCAAAAUUCAUGAUUAGAUGGGAAGGCGCGAAAUUUGAACAGGAUUGGCACAUAACUGUAAGUGAAUGUCUAUGUGUACCUUACUAAUUAUAAAAAUUCCAUUCAUUUAAUUAAGAUAAUACAUGUGAGACUAAAUUUCGAAUAACUAAUUUAUAUCGUCACAUUCAUACAAAAUGAUUUGAAAUGACAUUUCCCAUUAUAUUAAAUAUUCAAAUUAUACUAAAUAAACAAAGUAUAAGAAUCACAAAAUGUAUGUAUCGUUUGUGCACAAGCAUUAUAUUUAAUAAUAAGUAAUGUUUGUGCAUAAAUUAAGAGGAAUUAAUUAUAAAUUAAUUAUAAAUUCAAGACGAAUACACGAUUUACCCGGCAAUCGUGUACUGUACACGGUGCUAAGCCCCUCCCACUAGGGGACGGAGUUUGGCAAAUACACGGUAUAAUACACGAUGUACCCAGUACACGUACACGACGAUGCGUACACGAUCUACACUGGCCCAUAAAAAAACGUGUACAGGUUAUGGUUUGUUAAACCAGAUUGUAUUGUUAUUGUUGCUCUGUAGAAACAACGCUGCUUGUUAAGCAUUACAUUAGGAGUUCUGCACUGAUAAAUUCAAAUGCCUUCCUGCUGUAUUUUCUCUCUCUCUCUCUCUCUCUCUCUCUCUCCCUUGAAGAAUUGAAAAACUUUACGAGAAUAAGGAAACCGAUACAUUGAAUCUACAUUCUACUUAAUGCUUUGAGGAAAGAGGCAUGAACCAUUACUAUUCACGAACACAGAAUUUGGCGGAAGGAGGCUUCAGUCUGAGUAAUGGUUUCUAUUAACAUAGAUGAGAAGCUGUUAAAAUAUUUUUUUAAAAAGGUGUGGCUGAUGAAGAAAUUAUGGUGACUCAAUGGGACUCGAGAUUAACCACUGAGCACUUACCUCCUCUAUACGACGUUGAACUAAAAUCAUCGAGUAACUUUGACCUGUCCUAGCAAAGAAAUGGCAAAGCAAAUCAGUCAUAAUGAAUGAAUGGGGGAGGGGGGGUCCAGUAGGGAAAAUGGAUGAGAGUGAGAGGCAGAGAGAACAAAAUAUUAUGGAGGCUGCUGGUCUUUCAACCUACCAAAGAUACAAUGGAUCAAGAAAAUAACUAGGUCACUGUAUGUACAUAAGUUUACACAAGAGUCACACGGGGAAACUUUAGACCACAGCAAAUUGGCUGAUAUUGACGAUAACGCGAAUUGGCUAGGGAAAAUAGUUGCAUCUUCAUAAAAAGAAACUUGUCAACCAUGAAAAUACCGGAAACCAGCA
rnacentral:lncRNA from 1 species